GACGAACGCUGGCGGCGUGCUUAACACAUGCAAGUCGAACGGAAAGGCCUCUUUCGGGGGGUACUCGAGUGGCGAACGGGUGAGUAACACGUGAGUAACCUGCCCUUGACUUUGGGAUAACUUCAGGAAACUGGGGCUAAUACCGGAUAGGAGCUCCUGCUGCAUGGUGGGGGUUGGAAAGUUUCGGCGGUUGGGGGUGGACUCGCGGCUUAUCAGCUUUUUGGUGGGGUAGUGGCUUACCAAGGCUUUGGCGGGUAGCCGGCCUGGGAGUGUGACCGGCCACAUUGGGACUGAGAUACGGCCCAGACUCCUACGGGUGGCAGCAGUGGGGAAUAUUGCACAAUGGGUGGAAGCCUGAUGCAGCAACGCCGUGUGCGGGAUGACGGCCUUCGGGUUGUAAACCGCUUUCGCUCAUGACGAAGCUUUGUGUGACGGUAGUGGGUAAAGAAGCACCGGCUAACUACGUG
rnacentral:rRNA from 1 species